UACGUAGGGUGCAAGCGUUAAUCGGAAUUACUGGGCGUAAGGCGUGCGCAGGCGGUUGUGCAAGACAGAUGUGAAAUCCCCGGGCUUAACCUGGGAAUUGCAUUUGUGACUGCACGGCUAGAGUGUGUCAGAGGGGGGUAGAAUUCCACGUGUAGCAGUGAAAUGCGUAGAUAUGUGGAGGAAUACCGAUGGCGAAGGCAGCCCCCUGGGAUAACACUGACGCUCAUGCACGAAAGCGUGGGGAGCAAACAGG
rnacentral:rRNA from 1 species